rnacentral:rRNA from 1 species
UGUAUCUAUUUAAUUCUGGUUGUGGGAGACUAGGAAUAUUAUUUUACAUAGGAUUGUUGUAUGAUGUGAUUUGAGGUGUGUUUAUCCUCAAGAUCUUAGUAUUGAGGACUUAUUGUUCGAGGGAACUCGGAUUGGGUUAUUCUUGGUGGAGCGGUUAAUACACAGUGCCAGCAUCCGCGGUUAUUCUGUGGCUUAGGUCUCCGUGUCGGUUGAAAGGUUAUACGAGUAAUUAUGAGAUAGAUUAUAGGUUAAAUUUUGUCUUAAUGAAAAUGAUCUCGUGAUGGUGGAGGAAUGUCCUUAUUAAAGAAAAGGAUUAGAUACCCUUGUAUUUGGGAUGGAACUUUGUGUCCUUGAUUAACAAUCAAAAGGAUUUGGCAGCCAGCGAUGUUCCUCCGGGGGAGUGUGCGUAUGAAUAGAUGGUCCGCUUAGUAUCUUACCACUCUGUUAGGGCUAGUGUACAUCCGGUUUAAUACUCUUGGUUAGUGCUGGGGGUGUAAUAAUUAAUUGAAGCCAGGUCAAUGUGCUGCUUGUAGAGUGGGUUAUGUGCACUACAUUAUAAAGUUAGGGUUUGAUAUAUCCUUAGAUUCAGGACUCGGAAGUAGGUAGAGAUGAGUUCACUCUAUCGAAGUGUGAUUUAGUUGGGGUACAUACCGCCCGUCACCCAUGGCGUGAGCCGUGGUAAGUCGUAACAUGGUAGCGUUAGAUGAAUCUG